rnacentral:rRNA from 1 species
UACAGAGGGUGCAAGCGUUAUUCGGAAUGAUUGGGCGUAAAGCGUCCGCAGGUGGUUUUGUAAGUCUGCUGUUAAAGCGUUAGGCUCAACCUAAUAAGGGCAGUGGAAACUAUGAGACUAGAGUAUGUUAGGGGUAGAGGGAAUUCCCAGUGUAGCGGUGAAAUGCGUAGAGAUUGGGAAGAACACCGGUGGCGAAAGCGCUCUGCUAGGACAAUACUGACACUGAGGGACGAAAGCUAGGGGAGCGAAUGGG